AGGGGAGCCCAAAUAGGAACUAGGUUUGGGGAGGUGAUAGUGGGCUCCCGUGGGGUCUCAGACAGAGGGAGGGUGUGGUCAUUCAACAGGCUCCUCUAGCGGGGCCUGCAAAAGAGGGGCUCUGGCCGGGCGCGGUAGGGAGGGGGCGGAUAUGAUUUCUAGUUCGUUUCCUUCCAUUGUCCUGCGACCGGACGGCUCCGCCAGCUGCUUCCCCUCGAGGAGGUGGGGAAAGCCCCUGGUGGGGGCCGAGAGACGACGCUCAGGAGACCUAGGGUCCGGUCUUUCGCUCCCGACUCUCUUUUGAAUCCUUUUAGGGAUCCAGCGAGACAGACUCCCGCCCAAAGCCCUUUCGCCCUCCCCCAGUCCCAGAUCUUUAGGGCCUCGGGCAUCCGCCCGUCGGCUACGCUUGGAGGCUGGCGGGACGCCGGGGUCCAGCGCGGCAAGUAGGCAAAGCUCGGCAAUGUUUGGCUCCUUCCACGAGGGGGCGGACGAGCACUAGCCUCGCCUCGCCCGUCUUCUCCACCCGGCUGGGGGUCCACUCAAACGGGGGCGCAGGAUCGAUUAGGUCUGAGCGGCUGAAACCUUCGUUCUCCCCCUCUUUGGUUUAUUUUGUCCAGGGGACUAGGGUUGGGCGGAGGGAGGGAGAGUUAGGCGACAGAGGGGACUUUCCUCCGAGGAUGGGUUUCCUAUCUGGGGUGAGAAAUCCGCGGGCUUUGGGAACAAGGGAAAUGAGUGGGACAAGGAGCGGGAUCUGAGUCCUGGGAGCCCAGGGUUUCUAUUCUUUUAAGCUAGAUACUAUUAUCCGUCUCUAGAGGUGACUUUUUAGUGAACAUUAAUAUGAAAGUUGGGUGCAGUGAAGAGACAGAGGGGAAACAGGGAGGGUCUCAGGGUAAAAGAAGGGAGAGAGGGCAGGAGGGGCUGAUAACCCCAAUUUAAGUCCCUGAUCUGGAAGAUAAGCACGGGUCACACCCUCGUAUUUUGUUUGGGGAGAGUUGGUGGGGCAAGGUUCAUUUGGAGAAGUGGGGCAAGAGCUGAGUUCAGCUGCAAAGCGGGACUUGCAUCUGGGCUCAGGAGAGUCUACCGUUGCCCAGUAAUGACUGACCAUUAUCCGUGGAGCUGCAUAUCGAGGCCUGGGGCCCUCCCCUUCAGAUGUGAGGGUGUCUUUAUUUGGGUGCAGGAAAGAACUGCUGAGAAACUGGGAAUGGGGAACCACUGGGGAUUCACGGUGGUGAGGUGGCUUUUGCAAAUGAGGGUUGCUUUGGUCUCUGCCCAGUUGGAGGUGGGAGUUAGACUGGGGACUCCCUUUGGUAUCAGGAUGGAGUUACUUUUGUGUUGUCUGGUCAAUUUGUCAAUUGUGGGGUACAUGUUUACUAUGGGGUGUUGAGUUAGUUUGUUCUGGGCCCUGAAGCCUGCAUUCAGGGUUGAGGGCCAGUAGUAAGUCUGAGGUAUGGAGCUGAUUUUGAAGCUACGUUAGUUAGUUCUAGGGGUUCUGACACCCACAAUUUGGAGCCUGUCAUCUUGAAAUAUCAGGGGAACCUGCUAGGUGUUUUUCAGAGGUGGAUGAGGAUUUUGUUUUGGGGAUUCAUAGUCAUCAGUGUAUGUGGACAAUCUGAUUUCAAGUGGAGUAAUUGUGCUGGUUUUGGGGUGCAGUCUGUUUUGGGGUGCCAGAUAAGUUUUGAGGUUCAGAUUAUAUUUGGGGGGACAUGAAAUUCAGUUUGGGGUUUUUAUUAGCUUGAGGUGGAACGUAAUAGGAACCUGGGAGCAAGUUUGAAGGCCUUCUGUGGUUGUGGGUCCUUGCCGGGGAGCAAAGCUUUAUAUUUGAAUGUUGUGCAAACUUACUUUGAGGAGGGGGAUAUUUCUGUGUAUGCACUGAGAGCCAGGAGGCUUUUUCCAGGGGGAGAAACAAGAUGAGGGCCCAGGGUAGGAGACUAAAGUUUUGGGGUGUCCUUAUUUUGGGGUGUUUUGCCACUCUUUGGGUGUAUUUGGUGUAACUGAGUGAUGGAUCGUGAGGUGAGAUUGAUUUUAGGGUUCACUUAAUUUGGAGCAUGAUGCUGCUUUGGGAUGUCCUUUGCUUAUAGCUCCCGCUCACCCCAGAUUCUAGAAGUCUCUUUCUUUAGUGAACCUCCAAAUAUUCCCAGGAUUUGAAGGACGAAAUUCGGAAAGGGAGUGUAUCUCCCCUUAUUUCUAUGUGGCCUGGAUAGAUCUGAGGGAGAAAAGGUGGUUUCAAACUCUGAACCCCAAUUUCUUAAGGGCACAUACCUUGGUUUGGGGGCAGAUGGGGGGGAAAUGGAGUGUGUUGUGGUAAAGUGGACACCCCUGACUAGGGCAGUCUGUUGGAACUGUGCAAGGAGAGGUGGUAGUGAGGUACAAGGAGGGGAAUCUUGUACCCUGAUUUUCUAGGAUAAGAGCCCCAAACAGAAAGCAGACAGAGGACUGGGAGUGUGGGUGAGAUGGGGGGGGUUCCCCACGGCAGCAGGGGCUGGGGGGUAAUCCAGGCCAGCUCUGCACACCCCGGUCCCUGCUCUCUUUGGCUCUCCUCCCCUCUCUCCCUCCCACCGCCCACCCCCCCAACCCAAGGAAAAAAACUGCCUGUGCAACAGCAAUGGCAGAUUCCAAUCCUCCAGGCUUUCCUAAACCACCACGGAGACCAGCCAGGGGGGAGGGGAAGGGAGGAUCGGGCUUUCCUGCUUCCCUAAGACUGGGGCUAUGAGCUUGACCUCCUGGCCCCUAGCCCUUCGAGGAGUGCCCCCCUCCCCCGGCCUGGAAGCCAGGUGUCCUGGACCCUAGCCCCCGAGCGGGGGGGUGGGGGGGGGCCUGGAGAGACGGGGAGGAGGAAGGAGGGAGUGACUUCCAAAAUUGGCAUCGGGACAGAGCAGGGCUGGCGGGAGGCAGGUGAAAGACGGAAUUUUCCUGAAAAAACGGGGGGAUCUGAGGACCCCAAAUUUGGGGAGCUAGUCCAGAACCGUCCAGCCAACAUCCUAGAUUUUUUUGGGAUUUUUUGGGGCCCCCGGGACCCCUCUAGAUGGGGUGAGGAAUGUAGUGUUGGGGGAAUCUGACUGGGGCAUUGCAGCUGCCUCUCCCGCCGAGUUGGAGACGGAUGGGCUGGGACGGGUUUGGGGGGGGGGGUGUCCCCAAUUCUGACUGGGAGUGGAGGAGCCCCCUCAUGUGCUCUCUUGUGGGGGUCCCCCCUCCCUAGGGCACUCCCCACUCCCUGAGCCAGCCGAGAGGAAGGAGGCCAGCGAUGCGACUGGGGCGGCUCCUUUCUCCUGCACCCCAAAUGUGAGGGAUGCACCCCAAAUUUUGUUCCCUUCAAAAUAGGGGACCAGGAUCUCAGGGGAGAGUAGCUGAGGGUCCUCGUUUUCCUGAAGGCUUGCAGUCACUUAGGGCAAAUGGAGCCUGAAGAGUGGAGUCCAACUGAGAGUGGGAAAGGCCCGUCUUCUACUUCUCUUCUGGGAGAGAUGUAUGAAUGUGGAAGGCUACCAGGUAAGCCUGGGUGACCUACCGGGAGAUUGAGACUUAUUAAUAGAUCCUGAUCCACUAGCUCAGAAUCAUAAUAUCCCUGGAAACACCACAGUAGAGUCUCAAAAGAUCUGUAUAAAUAACCAGGGACUUCCUAUUACCAAAUUCAAUUAUUGGGUGUCUCUGGAAACCUAAAAUCAAAUUCUUGUAAGGUCCUGAUUACCACAGCAUUUUAGUGACUUCUGACCAAUUGUGACAAUUCUUUUAUUCUUUCAGUUCUCCAGGGAUUUUGUUGCUAACAAAACUAGCAACAAAGUAGGAAAGAUGUUGAGCUGGAAGGGAGUUUGAGGAAGAUGGAACAAUGGGUAUGGAGGAAGAAAGCUGCCCACCCGCCCUUUCUCUGCCAGCCAACCCUCCCUCACACUGUCCGUUCCUUGAUGACACAGCUGAUGUGAUUAAGAUCGUCCCCAAAUCGCUUCACAGCAGCCCUCAGCAUCUCUAUCUCCGUCUCCGUCCACUUGGCACUGUCAGAAGGGGAGAAGGGAAUAGCGAAAGUGGGAGGAAGAGGGGUGUGGAGCCAGCCCACAGGCUACGCAUUCCACAGCAACCAGCCUCCUCCCCGCGAUGCCUGGGGCCCCUUGCAUAAAGAGGUCCUCCUUAAAAAAACAAAAACAAAAGCAAAAAAGAAAAUUCUUAAGGCGCCGUGGGAACCCUGCGGACCCCCAACCACACGAUAUUGAAACAACCGCCACCUUAGAAGAAAACUUCUCCCCCAUCAACGUGAAACAGCUGCUUAUGUAAACAGCCCACUGAAACCCAUCCAACAAGUGGGGGUCUUACAGACAGAGCCUCUAAACACAGUCUGCUGCAGUCUGACAGAAUUCCACAUGAUUUGGGGGGUGGUGUGGUGUGGGUAGUGGUGGCGGUCUAUGGUCUACCAGUUCGCAGCAGGGCAGGGCUGUGAAAUGAGUCCGGAUUAUGAGCCUCGGUCUGUGGUUUAUCUGUCAUUCAUUCAUUCAACAAUCAUUUAUUAACACCUACUCUGCGCUGUGCCAGGCACAAAGGGAAACUAACAUCUGUCCCUGCCCUAGAGAGUGUCGGUGUCUGUGAUCGAGACCCAGCGUCCGCUCUCAGCGUCCAUCUCCCAGCCCGGGCUCACGUACCCCGCGGGAGAAGAGUCGGCCACGGGAUGCAGCUGCAUGGUCAGCUCCCCGAGCUUCGUGAAGGCGGCGCCCGCCGCGGAGAAGAUCUCUCCGACCUGGGGGGCGGGGCAGCAUUACGGGGGGCCGGCGCACAGUGCCGCGCCGGACCGCCCGGAGCCCCUAGCCCCACCCCAGGCUGGACUCCCGCCCGCCCCUCGCCCGGGAUGGAAGAGCCGGGAGCCAACUUGGGGGCCCCGCCCUCCCGUGGCCGCCAGGGAGCGCUGUCCGCGAGGGAGGUCGAACCUUUGUAGACGCUGACGUCAUGGCCCCGCGCGCCUCCUCACGGAGACGUUGCCGCCGCCGCUACCUCGGAGCCGGGACCACGGAGAGCAGGGCGAUCGAACGGCUCCAGCCCCCGCGCAGGAAGUCCCGCCCCUUCCCGCAGCUGAUUGGCUCCAGCUCGGCCGCUCACCGCCUCACCGCCUCGGCGCGCGGGAAGGAGAGUGGAAGACACCGCCUCGCUUCCGGCCCGGCUUCACUCCACUUCCGUCGAGGGGUCGGGACUCCCUAUUUGGAGUCCGAGCUCCAGCCCGGAUGCCUGCCCCGCAACCCAUGCACACACACGAGGCUUAAGAGAGCAGUUUCUCUUUAUUGUGUAACGAGACAAGGCGAGGGGGCCGGAGGGACAGGGAACGGCCAGCCCCGACCUCCCUCCCCUGGAGCCGGGCGCCAGAGGUUGAAGAACAAGGGAUUCAGUCUAUCGCCAGGGAAACCCAGUCCGCAGAGGGCGCCAGACUGGGGGUGGGGCGGGUGUGACUGGGUGGGGAGAGUCUUUAAAUAGAGGAGGGGGCUGGAGAGGGGGAACGCGACGGUGCUCUAGCGCACCAUGUAUUCCUUGCGCUUAUUGAGCCGAACUUGGCAGAAAGAAAAGCCUCCGAGGAGGAGGUAAAGGCCCGCGGCGAUGAAACAGUUGUAGCUGACUUGCUCGUAAAGGUUGUAUAUGUUCUGGGGGCCAUUCCUAGGGGUGGGGAUUAGGCAGAGAAAUAUCGGAAACAUUAUUAACAGCAGCCAACAUUUACAGAGCACUUACUAUGUGCCGGGUAACCGUUCUAAACGCUUUUACGUGUAUUAUCUUAAUCUUCAUAACCCUAUGGGGUGAGUUCUGUUAUAGCAUACACUUUGCAUAGGUGGAGGAGGCACAGAGAAAUCAAGGAAAAUACCUAAAGAAGCCACACCUAAAGCGGUGGGUUUAGGAUGGCCGCUGAGGUCUGACUCCCAAGACUGCUCCUAUGCGCUAAACAGAGCAGCCAGUUCCCUAGUCUCUGGGCCCCAAGCAUCCAGCCUCCUGCAAUUCCCCGCCCAUGAUUCUGACCACUUCCCCCGCCUCUCCACUUACUCAAAAUCUUUCUCCGUUAAGGGAACGUCUUCAAUUAGCACAGCGGAAUGGACAUUGAAAAAGAUUCCGAGCAUUAUCUGCAAAAAGGGAAAGGGUAGGUUGUUGAACUCAGGCACCUGACCUGGUCACUGCCUGAACUCCUCCCACUUCGAAUGUUGCCACAACAUCUGGGUAUGGGAAUUACCAGAAUGAGCUGGGAUUAGGGAUGGCUGUUGCCAGAUUUGGACUCCAGUCACCUGGAACAGGGCAUGAAUGGUGACAUAGAGAAGACUUGGCUGGGGCAAGGGUUAGGAAUAAUGAGCAACCAGGAACCAGAUUAUCAUCCUCUCCGGAGGCGUCAUUAUCACGGGACAGGGAGGAGGGGGUCAAAGGGAAUCGGCACUUCUCCAUAUUACUUUUUCCUGAAGUGGGUCGGGUAGAGUCCUCGGGAAACAAGGCCCAGCUAUCCAUUUCGGGAACAAGCUCUCCCUUUCCCCACUGCCCUCCAUUCAGCUCAAGGAUCUCUCAAGAACGUAGCUCUUCUUCCUCCUACCUUGAGGGUACUCCAAAUUAACCAGCCCCGGGGCCCAUUCCAAGCUUCAGCUCCCCCUCUCCCUUCCAAUUCCCCAUUUCUCAAUUCAGUUCUGUCUCGUUCUCCAGCGGCUAAUCAACCACCCCCUCCGGCCUGUCUGCUGCUUUCAAACGCCUGGUGUCUCCUAGCCUUCCAGCCCUCCAACACCCGGGCCCCUCAGGCCCUCUCCUCUCCGGUUGUCGCCGGGCAGUCCCCUCACCAACAUGAUCACUCCCCAGGCGCUGAGGACGAUGCCGCAGGCGGCCAGCUUGGGCCCACAGCACAGAAGGGACGCCAUGAAGAAGGGAGUCGGGGAUCGCCUAGAUGUGGGCCAGAUAGGAUGGCGGUGAGAGGAAGCCCCGAUGAGCGGGGUGGGGGGAAGAGAGCUGGACUUGGGGGCUCGCGGAGGACCGAGCGCAGGGAGAGCGACUGAGGGGGCGUGGCUUCCGGGCCCAACCAUCGGGCUGGCGGGCGCCAGGCGGAGAACGCUGGCGCCUCCGGGUCCUCUCGGACUUCGGCGGGAAAGGGCGGUGUUUCUGAAAUCGUAGCGGCCCCUCGGGAAUCCCUUAUUGACCCAUAUGUAGCUGGGGUGCGAGUAUUGCAGGAGCAAAGUUCUCCGGUUUCUUGGAUUUCCCCCCUCUCCAGUUUGGAAUGGGAGGAGCCAGUAUAUCAUGUGACCAAGUCUGGCAAGUCACGUGACGAGGAAGAAAUGGUAGCCCGGCCUCAGGAAAGCUUUUAUCUCUGGCGGAGCUCCUGGUAACCUUGGCGAUGCGCUCUCAGCAGCCGAGGAUUGAAAUUAUGUCAUUUUUCUCUCAGAUACCUUAGUCUCGGGUGGUAUCCUGUGAUGGAGACGUGGGUCCUCUCUUACCAUGUCUGGCUGGCGGCGCCCCAGAUGCCAUGUGACGACCAUUUGAAGACAGGCCUGUCGGACAUCAGGUAGUGAGCCCAUCACCGUGGCCACUGUCACAUCUUCCUUGGUGGUAGGUGGGGGCAUCCGCAUUGUGCAUGGGGCAUUAGGGACCCAGGCAUACCAGUCCAGCUGGGGGAAGAAACUGCAACCCUAGGAUCCUGGUACUUAGGAUUUGAACCCGCAUCUCUCCCUUGGGCAUCCCAAGGUCCAGACACUUGCCUUCAAGGACCUGGGCUUUCAGCUCUCCAUACCUGGCCCUGGUUGAUGGCCCCAUGCUGAGCAGUGCACGUGAAGACACACAUGGUAAGGAAAUGGCAGAGUUGAUUCUGGGACUGGAAGGAGAUGGGGAAACCUGGGCAGGAAAGAAACAGGAUUUAGAGGCUGCAGUCUGAGAAGAGAGAAAUAAAGGCCGAAGACUUGGGAUGUCUACAUUUGGAAUUGAUUGUUGUUUGUUUAGUUCAUUUAUUCAAAUAUAUUUGCAUCAGACAUGGAUUUCAAUUCAGAUUCAAGUAAUAUAGUUGGGUUGGGUUACCUUAGGCCAAUUACUUAACAUCUCUGAACCUCAACCUCUUGACCUGUAAAGUGUAGAUGAUACCUAUUUUAUAAAUGAGAUAAUCACCUGGUGUGGAACAAGUUCUCAAUAAAUAAUAAGUAUUGUUAUUUUGGAAGGGUUGGGGGCUGAAAAGUUCUGAGUGAUCAAAAAUCCUCUGCC